rnacentral:rRNA from 1 species
CCUACGGGAGGCAGCAGUGGGGAAUAUUGCGCAAUGGGGGCAACCCUGACGCAGCAACGCCGCGUGAUUGAAGAAGGCCUUCGGGUUGUAAAGAUCUUUAAUCAGGGACGAAAAAUGACGGUACCUGAAGAAUAAGCUCCGGCUAACUACGUGCCAGCAGCCGCGGUAAUACGGAGGGAGCAAGCUAUUUCCGGAUUUACUGGGUGUAAAGGGCGUGUAGGCGGGCUUGUAAGUCAGAAGUGAAAUCUGGGGGCUUAACCCCCAAACUGCUUUUGAAACUGCGGGUCUUGAGUGAUGGAGAGGCAGGCGGAAUUCCCGGUGUAGCGGUGAAAUGCGUAGAUAUUGGGAGGAACACCAGUGGCGAAGGCGGCCUGCUGGACAUUAACUGACGCUGAGGCGCGAAAGCGUGGGGAGCGAACAGGAUUAGAUACCCGAGUAGUC